GAAAAAACGUUUUUGAGAAUUACGAUCGAUAGAAGGGUUCAUCCUAAUUUCGUACAUAAAUUACACCGAUUACGGAAUGGAAAUUUCCCUGGUUGUCGUUGUCCACCAACGCGUGCCAUUCGACAAAUUCAACGACUUGAUUGGUGUGGGUUUCUACAGCGUUGACGCUAGGUAUAUACCAAUGACUGAUCGCAAGUACGUACAUUCGCAAUGGGAUUCAUAAGAGAAACACUCACCUUUCUUUGACUUGGCACCGAUCUUCAGUCGCGAAGGCCAUGUGAUGAACGUAUUCGUUUCUUCCAUAACCUGGAA